UCACAUUCAGAUUUUAUUGAAAGAAAUACUUCCUGACCAAUAUUUUUCAGUAAAAAUUACUUUUUAGAAAACAAAACUUCAGUUGCUCCAGAGUUCUUCGUUUGUGAUCUCCUAAAGCAGCAAACACUAGAAACUGUUGGUUGGUUUUAAGCAUCACAACCAUAAGAUGUUUCAAGAGUCUAAAAGUAAGUCAAUCUCAUAUCACUGAAAAAAUAAUAGUGAAGGAACCAGGAUUUGACAUGCUCAGGAUCCAAUGGCAGAGAACAUAUUUUUAAAAGCUGCUGACUGUAUUUAAAUAGUUACAUAAAAGGCAAGCACUGUAUUUCAACAAUACAGAAGUACAGCUGGGAAGGACUUGCAUUUUAUGAGUGUAUUAGGUUACACACAGAAGGUUUUAUUUAGCACAUUUCUGCGGGAGUUUGGAACAUACUCCACUGUGGUCUUAACAGGAAACAUAUUUUAGUCUAAGAACAAUAUAAUGCAUGUGAAAGGUUAACACGUUUUGUUUUGAAGAAUAUCUAAGGAGGCCUUCCUUCGAAAAAUGAAGCAUUUUAAGGUGUUUUACACUCAAGAGGAGUUACAGUCUUUUCCUUUCCCCCACCUCCCCAUCAGCUAGGUGGGUUUGGAGUAAAUAACACGCCUUAAUGCACCUCCAACCCCAGCCCGCUACAUUACCCGGUACUUUGUAUCUACAGAUGCUGGCACUGCACCAGUGCCUUCCAGGACACCCGGGAGUGUCCUCAACUCUAAAACAUCAGUGAGAGUUUUAGCGAACAGCGUUGCUACAGCGAUUCUCCCUCCUAUUACCAGCAGCCAGGUAAGACCGAGCUUACCGAAGAUCUAUCUCACUCUGAAGAUGAAAAUGCUGUGAACCCCAACCCAAAAUAUAACGCGCUACGGGAUCUGUUUAUCAAGCGUGGAAACUACCCAGCGUCUCCCAUGGGUAAUUUACGACGCAGCCCUCGCCAGAUGGAAGAAGUGGAAGAAGUCUCGUCCUUUACUCAGCACCUUGCACCUGGACAUCCCAAGGGAAAGGGGGAGCGGGAAAAACAAUCCUUCGGAGUACGGCCCCGGGGAUGCCACCCUGGCAGACUCGGCACCAGCCGCGAGCAACUGUCUUAUUAAAGGCAGAGGUGAGGAGAAGAGGGAGAAUAAUAUCUAAUCCAUAAUCCCAUUAUAAGAGCAAGAGCGAAAUAGGUUGUUAGAAGAAACAAACUAGAAAGUCAAAUAGAAACAAAGGAAAACCUGAAAAUAAGAACAAGGAAGGAACACUGUAACUUGAAAGAGCUAGCCUACAGAGGAAAGCUAAAGGAGGAUUGUGUGACCUGCUCAAGGAACUUCUGCAGGAGAGGAGGAAAAGCAGAAAAGUGCAACAGGACUGUCCAGUGGAGGACCAGGAGGAUGAGUGCCUUUCCACCUUGCAAGUUUUGAGACGACUGGUGUCCUAGAGCUCGGAACCAAAGCACAUGCAGUACUAGCCCAUUUGUCCAGGCUACUCAGCCUUUAGCUGUAGCUUAUCAUGAAAUAUCCAGACUGGAUAGAGACUUCUUUAUCUGUCUUCAACACUGUAUGCCUUUCCACUCUGAGCUGUGGUCCACUGCUAUCAUCCACCCAGAGUUAAAGGUUAGCUUCUGGCUUUAGCACAGGUGUAUACUUCAUAGACUCAUAGAAUGGUUUAGGUUGGAAGGGACUAAAGAUCAAUCAGUUUCAACCCCCCUGUCACGGGCAGGGACACCUUCCACCAGACCAGGUUUCUCAAAGACCUAUCCAGCCUGACCUUGGACACUUCCAGGGAUGGGGCAUCCACAGCUUCUCUGGUCAACCUGUUCCAGUGCCUUACCACCCUCACAGCAAAGAAUUUUUUCCUGAUGUGUAAUCUAAACCUACUCUCCUUUUGAAACCAUCUCCCCCUUUUCCUGUCAUUACAUUCCUUUGCAAAAAGUCUUUCUCCAUUUUUCUUGUAGCCCCCCCUUUAGGUAGCGGAAGGUGCUAUAAGGCCUCCUUGGAGCCUUCUCUUCUCCAGGCUGAACUGCCCCAGCUCGCUCAUAGGAAAAAUGUUUGAACCUCUGAUCGUCCUCGUGGUCCUCUGGACUCACUCCAGCAGGUCCCCAUCCUUCCUAUGCUUGGGGCCCCAGAGCUGGACUUCCUCCAACCAUCUGCUUGGUGAUCACACCCAAAGGAUAUCUAUGUUACUUGGAUCAGCUGGUUAAGCCUGUUUGAGUUUAGUGUUGCCUUAAGUAAACUUUGUCUUGACUUUUAGCAUGUGCUGUGCUUUACUGCAUACUUGUCAUGUAUGUACAACAGUGUAUACAUCACUGCUGUUAAAUUAAUGAUCACCUGCAAAGUCUUAAGGAAGAAAUUAUCUGAGUAAAGUAACGCAUUGUUGGGAAAAGCCUAAUACAGAUUUUAUGGUACAGUCCCAUCAUUGCUCUCUACACAUAAACUAACCACGUGAUCACUGACUUACCUUUUUUCUAUGUGUUUACUAUCUCCUCUUCAGGGUUCAGAGAACCUCUCCAGGGUUUAGGUACCAUCAUCAUGGCCAGUCUUCGCGAAUGAAGAUUUGGGAAAGGUCAUUACCCUUCGAGCCUGCGCAGUGGAUUUUUUAGGUGAGACACAGUGUGUGCUGAACUGAGCCCACCCUUUAAUCCUAAGGUUCAUCUGCUGGGGCCAAGCGAGCUCGGACAGUGGCAGCGAGGUCCUCAGGACGUAGGUUUGUUUAGAGUGACCUUCUCUUAGAUGGAUGGCCUUACGAGCUCCAUCUGCCCGGAGGAGUUCCCUGACUGGGAAUCGAACCCAGGCUGCAGUGGUGAGAGCGCUGCAUCCUAACCACUAGACCACCAGGGGGCCCCUGUCUAAGUACCGUACUUCAUCCAAAUCUUCUACUGAAUACAUCUUGUUAGUUAUUGUAACGUCUUGUGCAUCACCACAUGUCUGGCCCUUUCUAUGGUGAAUCUCAUUUAAUAAAAACCCUGCAGAUUAUUUUCAGGUCUUUGUGGUUCUCUCUCCUUAACAGUCAGGGAACUAAGAUACACAUGGAUUUAAGCCUACAUUUACAUUAACUUUGUGUGGGCGAUAUGCUAUGACCUAAACCUUGCUUCAAAAUAUUUUAACUAUUUAUGUUUCUCAGCAUGAGUUAUAUAGUAAUGGUUAUAUAGUAUAUCCAACAUCUCUUGGGAUAUAGGUCUGUGUCAGCUCUUCCGCUCAUCUUUUUUCCCAUGUAACACACAGAACGAAGCAGGUGAGUAGUGCUUGCAUUGUCUCCUGGUAUGCAAAUGUGACCCAAAAUACCAACUUGCAGCAACUGAGGGCGCUGAGCUCCUAUUGCUUAUGGAAGUUAGUGCUUUUCUGUCCACUUCCCUGCUUAGUUAUCCUUUGUUGGAGAUUUUAGUGUAGAAUCUGUUUAUUGAAGGGCUGAGUGGAAUGAAAGCCUUUUUCUGAUGACUUAGGCAAGGUGAAGUCUGCAGUCUCUUGAUUACAGAUUCUCCAGGCUCUGCCUUUAUUCCAAUUAACAUAAGCUGCAAACAAAUGUUUAUUGAGUUCUGGAUUUUGUUAGUUCUUGGCAUCUGAGAGUGUUGUCCUAUUGAAUGCAAUCCUCCACUUUGGUCAGCUUCUCCAAGCAAAACUUUCUCCACCCUCAACUGUUGCUUUUCCUGUCCAAUGUCACUCCUCUUCUGAGGUUCCUUUCUGAAUGUGCAUGAGUGACUCUUUCUUAUUUGCUGCCACCUUCUCUCUUUGUCCAGUGCAAACAGACAACAAAAAUUAUUUUCCAAAUAUCUUAUUGUUGCCUUCUGACUGCCAAGGUUGGCUAAUAAGUAGUGAUUAAAAACCAGUUUGACCACAUUACGGAGUGAUUCUGCACAUUGCUUGGAGCUGUGAGAGGAUGUGGGUACUGGGUAGGCUUCUCGAUGCUCUACCUGGCCGCCUUACCAUCCUAAUUGCCCUGGGAGCUUGACAAGAGGGUGUUGCCAACUUCCCUUUCAACAUAUCAGUGUGUGCAAGUUCCCUGGAGGGACCUAAGUGUAGAUUUGUCUUCGGGGAAAUAUUAUAACCUGAAUGUGUCAGCUUUAACUCAACUUGCUUUGUGCGAGCUAAUGGGUGAGAGGAGUGCGUGUUAGUUUAGGAAAGAAAUUAGAAAGUGUACAACAAGGUUCUAAGUGACAACAAAAAAAUGAAACACCAAUGAUACACCAUUCCAAAACCUACUUACGAACACAUUUUUUCUUAUAUUCAUGUAGUCUUUCAGCAGUGUCUCCAAAAUGGAGCAAGCAGAAAUGUUCAAAUGUGUCUCUUCUCACUCUCCUGUGCUGGGGGCUUGCAGCACUGUCUACAAACUUUCACUAUGUUCUUCAGUUAGUACAUUUCUCUUAUGUUAAGCAGCUUAUUAUCCAAGACUUUUUCACAACUUAGGUAACAUUUGAUACAUUUACUUCUUCAUUGUAUCAGGUUGGGUAUUUUCCAGAUACCAGAGAUGAGCUAAAAGUACAAUAGAUAACAUGAGAUGUCAAAGAGCAUUUUCUAAACCACUUUCUUUCCCCCUCUUUAUUAGCUGUAGGAGCUCCGGGUACCAAAUCCACAUGGGAUGGCAGGAGCAGGGUGGGAAUGUAGCAGGGAAAAACAGUAGUAGGAAGAGUACUCUGAUACCUGAAAGAAUGCAGAUCAUGUAACUUUUACAGAAAUUCCUACGUCUACCCUUUCUGGUAAAAACUGAACUCUCUGGAUCCUUGAGCAAUGGGAUUUAUCAGUCACUCUGUCCCUCUGUCCCUUCCCUCUGUCCCUCUGUCUAGCCAUAUUAAUAGUUCUGCUAGUGGUAGACUUACUUUCCUCUGUCAAAGUACUUCUUUAAGUCAACACUGAUGUGAUCCACACAUCACCUCAAAUAUCACAGCAAUAAAGGUGGUGGAGCAAAAGUCACUGUCAAAUACUAUGGAGUGGACUUUGGAGAGGAGAGCACCAAUAGAUGUAAAUGUGCUGAUUUUACUAAGAUAGGGCUCUGAAGUCUUCUUACAGUAUUGUUCCUUCUAUACCUGGUUGAAUGCCCUUCCCUUGUACUUCUGGAGCUAUUAUGGAGUCUCUUGUCCUUUGUUAUAGCUUUGAAAAGGAGGCAAAAGAUACAUUUCUCACUUUCUGUACCCAACAGUUAAUAAAUGUGUUGUGAACAUA